UCCAUCCCCUCCUCAGUCCGGAGUCGAUCUAGACCUCAACCCUCCAGGAUUCGUUCCGCGUCCUGGCGGCGGCGGCCGGCGAAUUCGGCUUCCUAGCGACGGCGCGACCACCUUCUCGUCGGAUCCAUGUGACGGGUGGAGGGCCGGGUAGCGCCGGCCGACGUGGGCGUGGAGCGCGGCGCCGACGCCGAAGAAGACGAGGAUGGAGGCCGCGUUCGUCAGGACGAGGAGCAGCACCACAGCCCUAGACCUCCGCCGUCGCUGCUGAUCUGAUCUGGGCUUCUUGGCGUUGUCGUAGUCCAUGCUCCUCCCCAUUCUCUUGAUGCAACACCAAGGUGCUCCGACGCAGUGGCAUGCCAUGGCGCGGCGGUGUUUAUAGGUGCGUGGUUUUGGCAAGUUUAGGUGACGACCAGGGGAGGAAGAGCCGAGCUGUUGCUUGAGGAGUGAUCAAAGCAGAGGGGGGUGUAGUAUUCAUUUGCAACAUGGAGUAGCAGUCAACACAUACACACACCUUGCCAUAUUGGGAGGCCUCGCAGCAAUUCUGCUGUGAUCUACUGGCCUUCGUGCAGGUGUUCAUAGGGGUGCGUUCUGGUUCCCCUGGCUGCUGGCUUUGGCUCACGUUUAUGCUAAGCAGAGUUGACUAGUAACCGCGAUAAUGAUUGAAAGGAAUUGUUUUGUUUCUUUUGCUGAGUUUUCUCUACAGAGGCACAUCGAUUUCAGUUUAUAUGUGAGUAGUGUUCCUCAGUUGGCGGCACACUUUGUACUUAUGUUGCCCAAAUAUGGUUAGCAAACUCUAUUUAUCCGAGCACACUUUGACUGAUUAUCAUAUUCUAGAUUCAUUUUGCAUACGAUUCGUAGCAUACUGUUAGCUAUUUCUUUGACUACGACAUCAUAGAACAGUAGAAAAUCAGUGUGAACUCUCUCUAUGAUUCUUGAAAUGCCAUUUUAUGCGUCUAAUGUUCUUUUACUGUCAAAUGGUUAGCAAACUCUUUGUCACUGAUAAUCUAUUCUGUUGUUGAUCUAACUGACAUCAGGCCACGAUAAUUUUCAUGAGAUCUUCCCUCCAUUUAUCUGAGGUGAUUAUGUGCAUGCAGGCUUGCUGGUAUCCCAUGUGAGGUGACUGAAUCCAAUUUUGGUUGCUGUUAUGUUAUGUAUUACCACGGUCCAUGAUGUACUCUGCCAAUUAUAUGUUGUGUUGUGUGAUGGUUUCUGAUGUAGAAGGAUCCAUUCAGUGGCGGAGCCAGACUAGAGAAUCAGAAGGGGCCAGCAUUGGUAAUUGAGGUGCUAAACUAAUAAACAGUCACCGUGUUCGGCUGGUCUCCAGCCCUCCAGCCUUACAUUAUUUCGCUCUCACACCACUCCAGCCACCAGCCAGGAGAGGGGGGGGGGGCAUGGCCCCCUUUGGCCUCAACCUAGCUCUGCCAGUGGAUCCAUUAUUCUGUUGAAGCAUGCAUCUCAAUGUUGUGCUCCAAAUUGUCAUGCCAUGCAGACGGACGUUUUUCUUUAUAAGAACAGGCACAUGUUUGAAAAAAAUCUUUGUGCAGUUGAUAGUUGUGGUCGCCUGUGAUUUGCUUGACCUGUCAUCAACACUUUGAAAAAAAAAUCACUCCUGUGUCUUUAGUCACCUGUGCAACAUGAUCUAUUGACUAUUGUAGUAUUCACUCGUCCUGCUGGUAUCACUAAGAUUGCCAGAUCGGCGUGAUUGAAUUUGGAGUGUAUUCGGUGGCAUGUAAUCAAUGGAUGUUCAUUCGGUGCAAACUUAUGGUACUUAUUCUGUCGAAUA